rnacentral:lncRNA from 1 species
GGGAUUAUAAAUUAAAAAAAAAAACAAGGUUCAUAAAGACUUUAGGCUAUUAGUACUUGACAACUAGAUUUAACAUGAUAAAUAAAAGAUUUGUACAAUAUCACUCUAGUAAUAAGCUAAUCUAGUGUUGAAAUAAACAUGAGAAAAUCAGGCUGUCAUCAAUCUUCAACACUUAGCUUGUUGGUCAAUAACACCAACAACAAACCUAGAAAUUUUUCACAAGUAAGAUCUGGGGAAGCUAAGAUAUACGUAGUUUUAGCCCUACAUCUGUAAGAACAGAGAGGACGUUUCCGAUGGAUCCUCGAUUAGAGAACGAUCGAAAAAGAGAAGGUAAUUACAACCAGUAGAAAUAAGAUGAAGAUGAAAUAAGAUUGAUUCCAAGAAUACCGUUGAACUCUAGGCAUUAAUAGCCAUCUAGUUGGUCUUCAAUCUCUAGCAAUGUGCUUUUUCAUCAUCCUGAAUUCUGAUCUUCAGCUGGUUAUAAUCUUUCAAAUUGUUGUUUUUGACACUUUCCUUGCAAGAAUAAUCCAACAAAUAACCCUAUAAAACACAAAGAAAGCAAACAUAAUUCCAACAUUCAUCCACCUAGUAUCCUUGUCAAGUCCCCUAUUCUUCAAUACAUCAUAUCCUGUCAGCAAACAUUCUGAAUGAUCAUCAUUCCAAGAAAAACAUUUGCUUCUCAAACUCCAAUAUUCAUUUGUCAGCAAUGCAUCCAAAGGAUACCUAUAUAAAGAAACUUUUUCAUCAUUCCAAGAAAAACAUUUGCUUCUUAAACUCCAAUAUUCAUUUGUCAGCAGUGCAUCCAAAGGAUACCUAUAUAAAGAAACAUAGUACAUAAACAGCCAAUAUUUAGGUAUGCAUUCCUUUGGUAUAAAAUAGCCAGAAAAGAGAAAGAAAGCCCCAAGAACAGUGCAAAUCAGUGAAUUCCCUGAUAUAAAAUCAGGAGAAACUGCACUCAGAAACAGAACCAAAGAACUUGCCAUCAAAACUAUCACCCAAACCACAAACGUGA